rnacentral:rRNA from 1 species
CGAAUGCUGACAUAAGUAACGAUAAAGCGGGUGAAAAGCCCGCUCGCCGGAAGACCAAGGGUUCCUGUCCAACGUUAAUCGGGGCAGGGUGAGUCGACCCCUAAGGCGAGGCCGAAAGGCGUAGUCGAUGGGAAACAGGUUAAUAUUCCUGUACUUGGUGUUACUGCGAAGGGGGGACGGAGAAGGCUAUGUUGGCCGGGCGACGGUUGUCCCGGUUUAAGCGUGUAGGCUGGUUUUCCAGGCAAAUCCGGAAAAUCAAGGCUGAGGCGUGAUGACGAGGCACUACGGUGCUGAAGCAACAAAUGCCCUGCUUCCAGGAAAAGCCUCUAAGCAUCAGGUAACAUCAAAUCGUACCCCAAACCGACACAGGUGGUCAGGUAGAGAAUACCAAGGCGCUUGAGAGAACUCGGGUGAAGGAACUAGGCAAAAUGGUGCCGUAACUUCGGGAGAAGGCACGCUGAUAUGUAGGUGAAGUCCCUCGCGGAUGGAGCUGAAAUCAGUCGAAGAUACCAGCUGGCUGCAACUGUUUAUUAAAAACACAGCACUGUGCAAACACGAAAGUGGACGUAUACGGUGUGACGCCUGCCCGGUGCCGGAAGGUUAAUUGAUGGGGUCAGCGCAAGCGAAGCUCUUGAUCGAAGCCCCGGUAAACGGCGGCCGUAACUAUAACGGUCCUAAGGUAGCGAAAUUCCUUGUCGGGUAAGUUCCGACCUGCACGAAUGGCGUAAUGAUGGCCAGGCUGUCUCCACCCGAGACUCAGUGAAAUUGAACUCGCUGUGAAGAUGCAGUGUACCCGCGGCAAGACGGAAAGACCCCGUGAACCUUUACUAUAGCUUGACACUGAACAUUGAGCCUUGAUGUGUAGGAUAGGUGGGAGGCUUUGAAGUGUGGACGCCAGUCUGCAUGGAGCCGACCUUGAAAUACCACCCUUUAAUGUUUGAUGUUCUAACGUGGACCCGUGAUCCGGGUUGCGGACAGUGUCUGGUGGGUAGUUUGACUGGGGCGGUCUCCUCCUAAAGAGUAACGGAGGAGCACGAAGGUUGGCUAAUCCUGGUCGGACAUCAGGAGGUUAGUGCAAUGGCAUAAGCCAGCUUGACUGCGAGCGUGACGGCGCGAGCAGGUGCGAAAGCAGGUCAUAGUGAUCCGGUGGUUCUGAAUGGAAGGGCCAUCGCUCAACGGAUAAAAGGUACUCCGGGGAUAACAGGCUGAUACCGCCCAAGAGUUCAUAUCGACGGCGGUGUUUGGCACCUCGAUGUCGGCUCAUCACAUCCUGGGGCUGAAGUAGGUCCCAAGGGUAUGGCUGUUCGCCAUUUAAAGUGGUACGCGAGCUGGGUUUAGAACGUCGUGAGACAGUUCGGUCCCUAUCUGCCGUGGGCGCUGGAGAACUGAGGGGGGCUGCUCCUAGUACGAGAGGACCGGAGUGGACGCAUCACUGGUGUUCGGGUUGUCAUGCCAAUGGCACUGCCCGGUAGCUAAAUGCGGAAGAGAUAAGUGCUGAAAGCAUCUAAGCACGAAACUUGCCCCGAGAUGAGUUCUCCCUGACCCUUUAAGGGUCCUGAAGGAACGUU